CAUAGCUACGCCCCCCUCAAUGCUCCAAAAGCUCAAGUGCUAAUGGAGGUCAGGGAGUAGCUGCCAAGGUCAGAAAGGAUGCGCACACACCUCAGAAAGCGCAACCCUAACAAAUUUUGCCUCUAUCAUCGUGACCACGGUCAUGACACGGAGGAGUGUAUUCAGCUCCAAGACGAGAUCGAGGAGCUCAUUAGACGAGGUCGGCUCGACAGAUUCAUUUGAUGCCGGCCUGAAGGUAGGGAAGAUCGACCGAGGGCCCUGCCACAACCAGAGCCACC
rnacentral:lncRNA from 1 species